AUACCUUUCUCGGAUUUCUGGCUAAGAUCCAGUGUAGUAUCUGUUCUUAUUUGUUUAAUAUCUGAUAUGUGGGGCCAUCAGCUCACUCUUUAUUAAAUUAAUUUUUUAAGGGGAAGGGCCCACUAUAGUACGUCUACUUGGGUCUCUCAUGCGUCGCUUUGGUGUUGCACUAUUGCAUUGGCCUGACGCACCCCAC